GUUAGAAUAACUUCCUCUCCCGGAGACCUCGGUUUUGCACAAGCCGGCCUUGAAAUCAGAAACUCCGAGAGCGUGUGCUCGGCGACCGCGGGCUUGGCCAGCGGCGCGCGCUCGGCGCCCGGCGCCCCCAGCCCCACGCGCGCUGGGCGGGCGCCAUGGAGGAGGGCUCCAGCUCGCCCGUGUCCCCCGUGGACAGCCUGGGCACCAGCGAGGAGGAGCUCGAGCGGCAGCCCAAGCGCUUCGGCCGGAAGCGGCGCUACAGCAAGAAGUCGAGCGAAGAUGGCAGCCCGACCCCCGGCAAGCGCGGCAAGAAGGGCAGCCCGAGCGCGCAGUCCUUCGAGGAGCUGCAGAGCCAGCGCAUCCUGGCCAACGUGCGCGAGCGCCAGCGCACCCAGUCGCUCAACGAGGCCUUCGCCGCGCUGCGCAAGAUCAUCCCCACGCUGCCUUCGGACAAGCUCAGCAAGAUCCAGACGCUGAAGCUGGCCGCCAGGUACAUAGACUUCCUCUACCAGGUCCUGCAGAGCGACGAGAUGGACAAUAAGAUGACCAGCUGCAGCUACGUGGCCCACGAGCGCCUCAGCUACGCCUUCUCCGUGUGGCGCAUGGAGGGCGCGUGGUCCAUGUCCGCCUCCCACUAGCGCCGCGCCACCCACGUCCGGACCGGCGCGCGAGGCUUUGGCUCCCCUGAAGACAACCGGCCUCCAGGAGAAGAUCAGCCCGCCCACCGUGGGGUCUGCAGGGGAAACAGAUGAGCCUGGCUCUGCGGACAGCCAGAGACCACGUGGUCCAUCCUGGAAAGCAACCUCCUGCUUGAACGGUGAUAACAUGCUACUUCCGCAGAAAGAAGGAGAGGGAAAGUGAGGAGCACAGUUGGAUGCUGGCGGCAGUGCGGGCUCCGGGGCGCCCUCUGUGCUCGCUGCUGCUCCACCCUCCACACCGAGAAACAGUCGUCCACGGAGGCAGAGCGCUCGCACGUGUGAGGAUGUGCGGUGGAUGUGACUCCCCACAAGGGAUUUUGCAACUUAUUGAAGUCAUUGUUUCCAGAAUAAACUAUGUGUCAUUCUUUCCCUUAGUAAUGAG